UCAGAUAUUGGAAUUAUCUAAUUCAGAAUAUAAAAUUACAAAAACAUGUGUAAAUAAAGAUGUCAAAUCAGAAAAAAUAAGCAAGCAAGAACAGAAUGUAAAAAUGCCCAGGCAGGUUUGAAAAAGAACCAAAGAGAACUUUGGAUGUGCCAAAGAAGAUGUAUAUUCCCCUGAAGAAGGAGACCCAGGGAGCUAUUUAAAUUAAC
rnacentral:lncRNA from 1 species